AUAGCAGAGCUGACUAUCUGCAAGCCUGGAAGAGAGCUCUCAACAAAACCCAACCAAGCUGAUAUCCUGAUCCCAGAUUUCCAACCUUUGAAACUGUGAGAAAAAAAAUAAUUCUAUUGUUUAAUCCACCCAGUCUAUGGCAUUUUUGUUAUGGUAGCUUAAGCACACUGAUGCACAUAGACUAGAGAAGGUAGAAGGUGGUAAUGAACACACCACAUUUUCUUUCCAAUUCCUGCUUUAAGAUAUAAUUAACAUUAGUCAUAAUGCAUUGUGGAAAAAUACUUCAGAAUUUUAAUUUAACACUUCCAUCAAAGAGCUCAUAAAGAGUCCAGGAGGAGCAACACGAAGACAAAAAUUAACUGUGAUAUAAGGAUAUCAAAAAUGCACCAACAGUUGCAGUAAAUAAAAGAUCUUCCACCAUGUGCAAUCCACGGGGAGAACACCAUUGGAGACCGAGGGAGCAGCCUGACCUUUCCCAGCACAUUCACUCUGUGUAGGAAGGAAGGAUUUCAUAGGAGUAGUUUCAGUAUCAUCACAAAGCUCCUCAUCUCUGAAAUAUCUGGCCCUCUCAAGGUGCCACCCGGGGACUGUUCCAGAAAUCUACGGGAUGUCAGGAAACACAUAUUAUUGAGAAGGACUAUUGAAGAAUGAGAAAUCCUCUACUGAAGACACAGGAUCAAUAGGAAUUAUGUACUGAGAACCAAGGAAAAUAGUCAGAGUCUUGGACUGAGAGAUUGUGGCUGAUACCAAAAAGUUAAAAUAAGACCUCAAGGAUGGGCAAAUAUAGACAUGUUCAGUCUGUUUAGAGUAGACCACACAAUAAUGCCUGUGUACCUCAGUUGGUCUACUAGAUGAAGGGGAAUUAAGUGUUCAGAUUCCAUUUUCUCUGCUUCUUUUCCUACACUGGAUGAGCCAAACUUUUCCCAAAGUAUGUACAACCUGGAUUAAAUGUCGCUUUUUCUUCCAUAACUGAUGGUUCAAAUGGAAAGGCCAUCGUCAAUGACUGAAUUCUAACCAGUCUGGUUCUGAGACAUAUUAAGUCCUUUGACCCCUGGGGGUGACCACACAUGAGGAAAUCGCUGCCUCUGGAAGAGUUAGCAAUGCAGAGAUGGGGUGUUAAGAGUAUCCCUGAUUGCACUGAC